AUAAUGUAGUCAGAUUGAAGCCACUGUUGUAACAUUUUUAUCGUGAUGCGAUUGUGCACACAGCUCGCAUGAGUCAAAGCCGGUCUACGGAUAUAUUAGAAGUUCUUUGCAUGAGUUCAGCUCGUGACAUCGGAUCAUGUUUGGCUUCCUCCCAUUGGCUGCAGCUUAAUUGAGGCGCCUCGGUGUCUAGAGGUCGCUUCACUUCUUGGACUGACGACGGAGGAAUAACCUAGCUAGCCACCUCGCAGAUAUUACCGUUUGGUUUAAUAUUUUCGGGAAAGUUCAUGUUUCAAGGUACAAAUUAUCGGGAUUAUAAGCGAUUGUGGUGAAGUAACAGGACCCGCAGAACACUUUUAUCAGUAACAGACCUCGGAAAUCGAGUUUUGCCGAGGACAAUGGAGGAAAACGAAGCAAAAAAAGGUUUCAAUUCAGCGAAGUUUUUGUGGCCACUUGUCCACCAUGCAUUUGUCGUCAGAGAUGAUGACUUCAUAUACGAGAUGAAGAGAAGAAGAAGAGAUGAAAGGACAGCCAUCUUACCUUGAACGGCAUCUGGAUUCACGAGAUCAGGAUGGUGGCAAACUUACCCUCUGGUUCGUCAUCACUUUCACUCAUGGAGCCGUAGUUUGCCACCAGGGAUCCCAGAGCUGAGCUCAUCUGUUUAGGCGCCACAACCAGG